GCAAUAAUUGAGCAAUGUAUGAAAGAUUGGGAAGUGAUGUUAGGACUGAACAGUUCAACAAAUGUUUCUGUAGCAUCAACUACAUCUUUGAUAAUCAGGGGGUGAAGGGAUGUAAAACUUUAAAAUGAUUGAAAAUACAGAAAUUUAAAAUAGUCUCUUUAGUCUCUGUGCUUCAGAAAUCAGGAAAGUGCGCGAAUAUUCAAAUAUUUGAAUGCUGUACCCUCAUUGGAUGAUUCAUACUGCGCAGAGGCGACUUCGACCAAUGACAAUGUUUUACUUCGUCGAGAUACGUCAUAACGUCAUGCUCGUUUGGAAGCAGACAGUCCGGGUAACGUCCCGCAGGAUAUCGACAUUCAGCGUUCGCUGAAGAGAACCAGACUCAUCACGAGUGAAAAUAACGAUUUGGGACCCAGAAAGGAGACUCCGCUGAGUUCUGGACAGAGUGGACCAUUUCGACAACUUCUCCUUUGACAAGGAUCAAGAGGCCAAGGAUCAGGUGGUGAGGGCAGAACCAACAGACCAGACAGCUCUCCCACAGCCAGCCUCUGAACCUGCUCUACAGUCUGAAUAGCCCGGGUGAAGUUAAACUCUCCGUUGGUGGUGCACCAGAUGGCUGAGAACAGGAUAGGCUGAUGCCCUGGAAGCUAAGAGGGAAGCGGCAAAGGAGUUCGCAGGCAAGACUGCUGAUUGCAGAGGAGCUGAAACCCACAGAGGACAUGGGUCUCAAUGAACACAAGGACAAGGCCUGGUGAGAGCCACUACAGAGGAUCAUAGCCAUCGUUGGAAUUCUGGAAGGACGUGGGUGAAUAUCUGCCAAAUGAACUUUUUUAGCAUGCAUAUUCACAUCUGUAUAUUAAUUCUGAUAUGAUACUAUAUAUGACCUUGUAUAGCUUCUAUUGUUUUUGACUUUGAAGGACUUGACUGUGGUUUAAGCCUAUGUGCAUUUUCUAGAUGUUGAGCAUGAACAGAACUUUAAACAGUGAUUUACUGGGUGACUUUUAUGGCGUUUUUCCAUCACCAGUACGAACUCAACUCGGUUCAUCCGUGCUCCGUUUUCCAUUGCAGAUAGUACCCAGAAAUAUUACCCGUCAAUGUAGCUGGUCAUCAUAGCAAUGCCACACACAACUGCCGCG